GCGGGUGUGGCGGAACCGGUAGACGCGGCGCACUCAAAAUGCGUUGCCCACAAGGCAUGGGGGUUCGAGUCCCUCCACCCGCACCA
rnacentral:tRNA from 1 species